rnacentral:rRNA from 1 species
UACUUAGUGGCAGACGGGUGAGUAACAUGUGGGUAUCUACCCUUUGGCCUGGAAUAACACGAGGAAACUUGUGCUAAUACCGGAUAAGUCUUUACAGAGAAAGCUUUAUGCACCAUUGGAUGAGCCCGCACUAGAUUAGUUUGUUGGUGGGGUAAUGGCCUACCAAGACUGUGAUCUAUAGCUGAUUUGAGAGGAUGAUCAGCCACAUUGGGACUGAGACACGGCCCAAACUCCUACGGGAGGCAGCAGUGGGGAAUCUUGCACAAUGGAGGAAACUCUGAUGCAGCGAUGCCGCGUGAGUGAAGAAGGCCCUUGGGUUGUAAAGCUCUUUCGUCGGGGAAGAAAAUGACUGUACCCGAAUAAGAAGGUCC